GACGAACGCUGGCGGCGUGCUUAACACAUGCAAGUCGAACGAUGAAGCCCAGCUUGCUGGGCGGAUUAGUGGCGAACGGGUGAGUAAUACGUGAGUAACCUGCCUUUAACUCUGGGAUAAGCCUUGGAAACGGGGUCUAAUACCGGAUACGACCAACCCUCGCAUGAGGUGUUGGUGGAAAGGGAUUUUGUACUGGUUUUAGAUGGGCUCACGGCCUAUCAGCUUGUUGGUGAGGUAACGGCUCACCAAGGCGACGACGGGUAGCCGGCCUGAGAGGGUGACCGGCCACACUGGGACUGAGACACGGCCCAGACUCCUACGGGAGGCAGCAGUGGGGAAUAUUGCACAAUGGGCGCAAGCCUGAUGCAGCGACGCCGCGUGAGGGAUGACGGCCUUCGGGUUGUAAACCUCUUUCAGCAGGGGAGAAGCGAAAGUGACGGUACCUGCAGAAGAAGCGCCGGCUAACUACGCGCCAGCAGCCGCGGUAAUACGUAGGGCGCGAGCGUUGUCCGGAAUUAUUGGGCGUAAAGAGCUUGUAGGCGGUUUGUCGCGUCUGCUGUGAAAGCCCGGGGCUUAACCCCGGGUUUGCAGUGGGUACGGGCAGACUAGAGUGCAGUAGGGGAGACUGGAAUUCCUGGUGUAGCGGUGAAAUGCGCAGAUAUCAGGAGGAACACCAAUGGCGAAGGCAGGUCUCUGGGCUGUAACUGACGCUGAGAAGCGAAAGCAUGGGGAGCGAACAGGAUUAGAUACCCUGGUAGUCCAUGCCGUAAACGUUGGGCACUAGGUGUGGGGAACAUUCCACGUUUUCCGCGCCGUAGCUAACGCAUUAAGUGCCCCGCCUGGGGAGUACGGCCGCAAGGCUAAAACUCAAAGAAAUUGACGGGGGCCCGCACAAGCGGCGGAGCAUGCGGAUUAAUUCGAUGCAACGCGAAGAACCUUACCAAGGCUUGACAUAUACUAGACCGCCUCAGAGAUGGGGUUUCCCUUCGGGGCUGGUAUACAGGUGGUGCAUGGUUGUCGUCAGCUCGUGUCGUGAGAUGUUGGGUUAAGUCCCGCAACGAGCGCAACCCUCGUUCUAUGUUGCCAGCACGUAAUGGUGGGGACUCAUAGGAGACUGCCGGGGUUAACUCGGAGGAAGGUGGGGAUGACGUCAAAUCAUCAUGCCCCUUAUGUCUUGGGCUUCACGCAUGCUACAAUGGCCGGUACGAAAGGGUUGCGAUACUGUGAGGUUGAGCUAAUCCCGAAAAAGCCGGUCUCAGUUUCGGAUUGGGGGUUCUGCAACACGACCCCGUGAAAGUCGGAGUCGCUAGUAAUCGCAGAUUCAGCAAACGCUGCGGUGAAUACGUUUCCCGGGCCU
rnacentral:rRNA from 1 species